rnacentral:rRNA from 1 species
GCCGAGCGGCAGCGACUUAACUGAACCUUCGGGGAACGUUAAGGGCGGCGAGCGGCGGACGGGUGAGUAAUGCCUGGGAAUAUGCCCUGAUGUGGGGGAUAACUAUUGGAAACGAUAGCUAAUACCGCAUAAUCUCCGAUCUUUUACGAGAUGGGAGCAAAGAGGGGGACCUUCGGGCCUCUCGCGUCAGGAUUAGCCCAGGUGGGAUUAGCUUGUUGGUGAGGUAAUGGCUCACCAAGGCAACGAUCCCUAGCUGGUCUGAGAGGAUGAUCAGCCACACUGGAACUGAGACACGGUCCAGACUCCUACGGGAGGCAGCAGUGGGGAAUAUUGCACAAUGGGGGAAACCCUGAUGCAGCCAUGCCGCGUGUGUGAAGAAGGCCUUCGGGUUGUAAAGCACUUUCAGUAGGGAGGAAGGUAGUGUAGUUAACACCUGCAUUAUUUGACGUUACCUACAGAAGAAGCACCGGCUAACUCCGUGCCAGCAGCCGCGGUAAUACGGAGGGUGCGAGCGUUAAUCGGAAUUACUGGGCGUAAAGCGCAUGCA